GAGCUUGCUCUUCGAUUCAGCGGCGGACGGGUGAGUAAUGCCUAGGAAUCUGCCUGGUAGUGGGGGACAACGUUUCGAAAGGAACGCUAAUACCGCAUACGUCCUACGGGAGAAAGCAGGGGACCUUCGGGCCUUGCGCUAUCAGAUGAGCCUAGGUCGGAUUAGCUAGUUGGUGAGGUAAUGGCUUACCAAGGCGACGAUCCGUAACUGGUCUGAGAGGAUGAUCAGUCACACUGGAACUGAGACACGGUCCAGACUCCUACGGGAGGCAGCAGUGGGGAAUAUUGGACAAUGGGCGAAAGCCUGAUCCAGCCAUGCCGCGUGUGUGAAGAAGGUCUUCGGAUUGUAAAGCACUUUAAGUUGGGAGGAAGGGCAGUAAGUUAAUACCUUGCUGUUUUGACGUUACCGACAGAAUAAGCACCGGCUAACUCUGUGCCAGCAGCCGCGGUAAUACAGAGGGUGCAAGCGUUAAUCGGAAUUACUGGGCGUAAAGCGCGCGUAGGUGGUUCGUUAAGUUGGAUGUGAAAGCCCCGGGCUCAACCUGGGAACUGCAUCCAAAACUGGCGAGCUAGAGUAUGGUAGAGGGUGGUGGAAUUUCCUGUGUAGCGGUGAAAUGCGUAGAUAUAGGAAGGAACACCAGUGGCGAAGGCGACCA
rnacentral:rRNA from 1 species